UUGAAGAGUUUGAUCAUGGCUCAGAUUGAACGCUGGCGGCAGGCCUAACACAUGCAAGUCGAGCGGUAGCACAGAAGAGCUUGCUCUUUGGGUGACGAGCGGCGGACGGGUGAGUAAUGUCUGGGAAACUGCCUGAUGGAGGGGGAUAACUACUGGAAACGGUAGCUAAUACCGCAUAACCUCGCAAGAGCAAAGAGGGGGACCUUCGGGCCUCUCGCCAUCAGAUGUGCCCAGAUGGGAUUAGCUAGUAGGUGAGGUAAUGGCUCACCUAGGCGACGAUCCCUAGCUGGUCUGAGAGGAUGACCAGCCACACUGGAACUGAGACACGGUCCAGACUCCUACGGGAGGCAGCAGUGGGGAAUAUUGCACAAUGGGCGCAAGCCUGAUGCAGCCAUGCCGCGUGUGUGAAGAAGGCCUUCGGGUUGUAAAGCACUUUCAGCGAGGAGGAAGGCGGUAAGGUUAAUAACCUUAUCGAUUGACGUUACUCGCAGAAGAAGCACCGGCUAACUCCGUGCCAGCAGCCGCGGUAAUACGGAGGGUGCAAGCGUUAAUCGGAAUGACUGGGCGUAAAGCGCACGCAGGCGGUCUGUUAAGUUGGAUGUGAAAUCCCCGGGCUUAACCUGGGAACUGCAUUCAAAACUGACAGGCUAGAGUCUUGUAGAGGGGGGUAGAAUUCCAGGUGUAGCGGUGAAAUGCGUAGAGAUCUGGAGGAAUACCGGUGGCGAAGGCGGCCCCCUGGACAAAGACUGACGCUCAGGUGCGAAAGCGUGGGGAGCAAACAGGAUUAGAUACCCUGGUAGUCCACGCUGUAAACGAUGUCGAUUUGGAGGUUGUGCCCUUGAGGCGUGGCUUCCGGAGCUAACGCGUUAAAUCGACCGCCUGGGGAGUACGGCCGCAAGGUUAAAACUCAAAUGAAUUGACGGGGGCCCGCACAAGCGGUGGAGCAUGUGGUUUAAUUCGAUGCAACGCGAAGAACCUUACCUACUCUUGACAUCCAGAGAACUUUCCAGAGAUGGAUUGGUGCCUUCGGGAACUCUGAGACAGGUGCUGCAUGGCUGUCGUCAGCUCGUGUUGUGAAAUGUUGGGUUAAGUCCCGCAACGAGCGCAACCCUUAUCCUUUGUUGCCAGCGAUUCGGUCGGGAACUCAAAGGAGACUGCCGGUGAUAAACCGGAGGAAGGUGGGGAUGACGUCAAGUCAUCAUGGCCCUUACGAGUAGGGCUACACACGUGCUACAAUGGCGUAUACAAAGAGAAGCGACCUCGCGAGAGCAAGCGGACCUCAUAAAGUACGUCGUAGUCCGGAUUGGAGUCUGCAACUCGACUCCAUGAAGUCGGAAUCGCUAGUAAUCGUAGAUCAGAAUGCUACGGUGAAUACGUUCCCGGGCCUUGUACACACCGCCCGUCACACCAUGGGAGUGGGUUGCAAAAGAAGUAGGUAGCUUAACCUUCGGGAGGGCGCUUACCACUUUGUGAUUCAUGACUGGGGUGAAGUCGUAACAAGGUAACCGUAGGGGAACCUGCGGUUGGAUCACCUCCUU
rnacentral:rRNA from 1 species